rnacentral:tRNA from 1 species
GCGGAAUUAGCAUAUCGGUAGUGCAUGGGCUUCCCAAGCCUAGGAGGCGGGUUCGAUUCCCGUAUUCCGCU